AAUGUCGUAGCUCAUCUGGAAGAGCACUGGUCUUCGAAACCAGGGGUGAUGGGUUCGAGCCCCAUCGACGAUA
rfam:Dictyostelium lacteum strain TK GLQOFTK02FH5TG, whole genome shotgun sequence.